rnacentral:rRNA from 1 species
UACGUAGGUGGCAAGCGUUGUCCGGAUUUACUGGGCGUAAAGAGCGCGCAGGCGGUCGUUCAAGUCGAGUGUGAAAGCCCCGGCUCAACUGGGGAGGUCACUCGAUACUGAUCGACUCGAAGGCAGAAGAGGGAAGCGGAAUUCCCGGUGUAGUGGUGAAAUGCGUAGAUAUCUGGAGGAACACCGGUGGCGAAGGCGGCAGUCCUGGACCGGCAGUUGACGCUGAGGCGCGGAAAGCCAG